AUUAAUAAUUAAUAUAUUUAAUAAAAAUAAUUUUAAUUUAAUAAAUAUUUUAAUGGGGGUUAAAGUAUUUUUUAAAGAAAAAAUUUUUAAAUUUAUAGUUAAUUAGUAUUGUGAAAGAAUUUUGAAAUAUUAUGAAAAAUAAAAUUUUUGUAAAGUAAUUUUUAUUUAUUGUAUCUUGUGUAUCAGAGUUUAUUAAAAAUUUUUAGUUUAUAAAUUAAUUUCUCGAAUUUAAAAGAGUUAAAUAAUUAUUAAAGUUAUUGUAGCAAAAUCAUUUUAAAUAAUUAUUUAGAAAUGAAAUGUUAAUCGUUUUUAAAUAUAUCUAGUUUUUAUAGAAAAAAAUUUAAUUUUAAAUUUAACAAUUAUUUAAUUAAUUUAUUAAUUAAAUAAUUGUUUAAAUUUUAUAAUUUAAGGGAUAAGCUUUAAAUUAAAUUUUUAUAGUAUUAAAUUUUUAUUUUGAAAAUUUUAUAAUUUAUAUUGUUAAUAAAAUUUAUUUUGUUAUAAAUAAUUUCAUUUUUUUUAAAAUUUAAAUUUUAUUUAAUUUUUUAUAUAAAAUUUAUUUAUAAUUAUAUAAAGUUAAUUAUAAUGAUAAAAUUAGUAUAUUAUUUAAUAUUAAAUUAAAAUUAAUUUUUGAUUAAUAAUUAAAUUAAUUAAAAGGAAUUCGGCAAAUAUUUAUUUUCACUUGUUUAUCAAAAACAUGUCUUUUUGUUAUUUAAUUUAAAGUCUAAUCUGCCCACUGAUUUAUAAAAAUUGAAGGGCUGCAGUAUAUUGACUGUACAAAGGUAGCAUAAUCAUUAGUCUCUUAAUUGGUGACUUGUAUGAAAGAUUGGAUGAAAAAUAUACUGUCUCUUAAUUAAUAUAUAGAAUUUAAUUUUUUAUUUAAAAAGUUAAAAUAAUUUAAAAAGACGAGAAGACCCUAUAGAGUUUAAUAAAUUAUUUUAUGAAAGUUUUAUUUAUAUUUAUUAAUAAUUUUAUAAAUUUAUUUAUUUUGUUGGGGUGAUAAAAAAAUAAGUUUAACUUUUUUUAAGUAAUUUACAUGAAUAAGUGAUUAAU
rnacentral:rRNA from 1 species